rnacentral:rRNA from 1 species
GACGAACGCUGGCGGCGUGCUUAACACAUGCAAGUCGAGGGGCAGCAUAGGGUAGCAAUACUCUGAUGGCGACCGGCAAACGGGUGAGUAACGCGUAUGCAACCUACCCUGUACAGGGGGAUAACCCGGAGAAAUUCGGACUAAUAUCCCGUAAUAAUAUCCGGAGGCAUCUUUGGAUAUUUAAAGUUUCGACGGUACGGGAUGGGCAUGCGUAACAUUAGCUGGUUGGUAAGGUAACGGCUUACCAAGGCUAUGAUGUUUAGGGGUCCUGAGAGGGUGGUCCCCCACACUGGUACUGAGACACGGACCAGACUCCUACGGGAGCAGCAGUGAGGAAUAUUGGUCAAUGGGCGCAAAGCCUGAACCAGCCAUCCCGCGUGCAGGAAGACGGCCCUAUGGGUUGUAAACUGCUUUUCCAGGGAGAGAAACUUACGCACGUGUUGCGUGACUGACGGUACCCUGGGAAUAAGCAUCGGCUAACUCCGUG